GACGAACGCUGGCGGCGUGCCUAAUACAUGCAAGUUGAGCGCUGAAGGUUGGUACUUGUACCAACUGGAUGAGCAGCGAACGGGUGAGUAACGCGUGGGGAAUCUGCCUUUGAGCGGGGGACAACAUUUGGAAACGAAUGCUAAUACCGCAUAAAAACUUUAAACACAAGUUUUAAGUUUGAAAGAUGCAAUUGCAUCACUCAAAGAUGAUCCCGCGUUGUAUUAGCUAUUUGGUGAGGUAAAGGCUCACCAAGGCGAUGAUACAUAGCCGACCUGAGAGGGUGAUCGGCCACAUUGGGACUGAGACACGGCCCAAACUCCUACGGGAGGCAGCAGUAGGGAAUCUUCGGCAAUGGACGAAAGUCUGACCGAGCAACGCCGCGUGAGUGAAGAAGGUUUUCGGAUCGUAAAACUCUGUUGGUAGAGAAGAACGUUGGUGAGAGUGGAAAGCUCAUCAAGUGACGGUAACUACCCAGAAAGGGACGGCUAACUACGUG
rnacentral:rRNA from 1 species